UUUGAAGGGCCGCAGUAUUUUGACUGUGCAAAGGUAGCAUAAUCAUUAGUCUUUUAAUUGAAGGCUGGUAUGAAUGGUUGGAUGAGGUAAAUUCUGUUUUAUGUUAAUUGAUGUUGAAUUUAGAUUUUAAGUAAAAAUACUUAAAUGUUAUUAAGGGACGAGAAGACCCUAUAGAGUUUAAUAAAUGUAAUAAUUAAUUGAGUUAAAGUUUAAUUUUUGGUUUUUAUGUAAUUUAUUUAAUUGGGGUGAUUGGAAGAUAAAAUAAACUCUUCUUUAUAUUUAAUAAAUUAAUUAGUUAUAUGAUCCAUAUUUAAUGAUUAGAAGAUUAAAUUACCUUAGGGAUAACAGCAUAAUUCUUUUU
rnacentral:rRNA from 1 species